AAUAGAUACCCGGGUAGUCCACGCCGUAAACUAUGGAUACUAGGUGUCCGGAGUGUUAACCCUCUGGGUACCGCAGCUCACGCAUUAAGUAUCCCGCCUGGGGAGUACGGUCGCAAGACUAAAACUCAAAGGAAUUGACGGGGGCCCGCACAAGCGGUGGAGUAUGUGGUUUAAUUCGAAGCAACGCGCAGAACCUUACCGUGGGUCUUAACACUCCCCUGACAACGGCAGAGAUGUCGUGUUCCCGUUCGGGGACAGGGAGAUAGGUGCUGCAUGGCUGUCGUCAGCUCGUGUCGUAAGAUGUUGGGUUAAGUCCCGCAACGAGCGCAACCCUUGUCCUUAGUUGCCACCAUUAAGUUGGGCACUCUGAGGAGACUGCCGGUGUUAAACCGGAGGAAGGCGGGAUGACGUCAAGUCCUCAUGGCCCUUACGUCCAGGGGUCUACACACGUACUACAAUGGCAGAGACAAAGGGUCGCGAAGCCGUGAGGUGGAGCCAAUCCCGAAAACACUGUCUCAGUCCGGAUUGAAGUCUGCAACUCGACUUCAUGAANCGU
rnacentral:rRNA from 1 species